AGCAUGAAGCCGGAAUCGCUAGUAAUCGUAGAUCAGCCAUGCUACGGUGAAUACGUUCCCGGGUCUUGUACUCACCGCCCGUCACACCAUGGGAGUUGAUUUCACUCGAAGCCGGAAUACUAAACUAGUUACCGUCCACAGUGGAAUCAGCGACUGGGGUGAAGUCGUAACAAGGUAACCGUAGGAGAACCUGCGGUUGGAUCACCUCCUUUCUAG
rnacentral:rRNA from 1 species